rnacentral:rRNA from 1 species
AACUGGUGGCGACCGGCGCACGGGUGAGUAACGCGUAUGCAACCUACCUAUCAGAGGGGAAGUAACCCGGACGAAAGUCGGACUAAUACCGCAUAAAACAGGGGCACCGCAUGGUGAUAUUUGUUAAAGAAAUUCGCUGAUAGAUGGGCAUGCGUUCCAUUAGGUAGUUGGUGAGGUAACGGCUCACCAAGCCGACGAUGGAUAGGGGAACUGAGAGGUUGGUCCCCCACACUGGUACUGAGACACGGACCAGACUCCUACGGGAGGCAGCAGUGAGGAAUAUUGGUCAAUGGGCGGGAGCCUGAACCAGCCAAGUCGCGUGAAGGGAAAAGAAGGAUCUAUGGUUCGUAAACUUCUUUUGCAGGGGAAUAAAGUGCAGGACGUGUCCUGUUUUGUAUGUACCCUGAGAAUAAGGAUCGGCUAACUCCGUGCCAGCAGCUGC